rnacentral:tRNA from 1 species
GUGUGGCUUAGUUGGUAGAGUGCUUGCCUGGCACGUGUGAGGCCCUGGGUUCAGUCCCCAGCAC